rnacentral:lncRNA from 1 species
UAACUCGUACACUUUCUUUGAAAAUCGAUCUAUUUUGAAGAAAAACAGCUGUUUUUCUCGACUUGGGUGGUGGUGGGGGGGUGAGAGAAAGGAAGACUUUCUUUACAAAGACUAAAAGCCGUCACUGAAAACUAGAUUAAAACUGGAAAACAAGUCCUAGCUGGUUCGAGCCAAACACCUACGUUAACUCGGUGGUGUUUCUUAUGGUGGGGAUGGCUGGUGAACUAUUUUGCCUUUUGUUUGAUUUGACCGUGUUUUCGCCUUUUGUUUCUUAAUGACGAUCACACCAUUGCUAAAUCCAGAGCAGUAAACAGUCCACAGCGAAGCCGCCUUUUGCCGGCCCAACCCUGGAAAGUUUGCAGUCGUGGAAGGAGCAGAAAUACCAUGAGUGUAACUUACAAAAAGGCGAAGAGAGCAUCUCCCCAGUACCCUGGGGCAUCCAUGGAGCUGCCUUGCGCUAGUCCCUUUGGCUCGCCUCAGAUCUGAACCUUGGUGACAGAGAAGAAAUCGAAGUGCUUUGAAGAUGGAGGGGCUGGAAAGGUCUUGGCCGGAGACCGGAACAAUGUCUGGGUUAUCCCCACAGUAGACAGUCCUUGCUUCCUCUGGACAUCUGGAACAGGCCUAAUUUGGCUGACAGCUUUCCCACUAAGGUAGGUAAGAGCCCUUUCCCCAAGUUGAGAGAACUGUAUCAGGGGGUUUUGGCCUGCGGCCUUAGAAGGGCGGGUUGGGAUCCCCAAACUCGCUGGGCUGGUUCUGCAGCCCCUCCCCCACGCUGAUGUGGCGGUUGUGUGUGUGAAAUGGGCGGCCUGCUGGGUCCAUCCAGCCCCGCCUGUCAACCUCUGUUGUCAGGCGUUUAGGGCGGGCGUUUCUCUGCCGAAUUUAGCAGCUUACUAGAGCAGGACUACGAAGUACUUCCCAGUGGUGUGUUUUAUGGUGGGUGGGAGGGCCCUGAUUGCUUCUUGAAGGCCUUGACUGCUGCCAGGCUUUGCCGGUGGUGCUUAAGCCAUUCCUCCUGAGCCCCAUUACGGUAACCAAAUGAGCCACCCUCCGAUGUCUGCCUUGCUGGGUAGACAAAGAACCAAGACCUGAUAUCUUAGGCAAUUUUCCCAGAGAAAAGGUUUCCUUGACACCCCCCUUUUUCCUGGAUUCUCACAGUGCCCUCCUGGCUCCCAACAAGGCCAGGUUGUCGAUACACUGGCUUCUAGAAUCUUUAUAAAGCCGGACGUGAAAGGAGGCUGGCCCUUCACCUGAGGUGACCUUGCAGGUCGUCCUGUCUGCAAAAAUUAGGCAGCCCAGGCAUCAGAAGAAGGAAACUCAUUAAGGCUGACCGUGCUGUCUCUUGAGUUUCUCAUUCGAAGUUGCAUUUUAAGAAUUUGUACUUCUUACAAGGUCCCAGGCACUACCAGUUUUCCAGACUCUCCCUGCCAGGUGACACCUGGGAUAUUACCCCGCUGGAUAGGUAGCAGUUGGCUUUGCCCUCCCGCGGCCCAGGAAGCUUCCAGCUGAAGGUGGUGUGGCCCUUGAUUCUCCCCCCCCCCCAAGUGUGUUCCUAGUUAUGUUACUUUGAUAAGCCAUUUGGCUACAGGUGCCACGGAUCAUGCUGCUUCCUCUGUUUUGGCCUGAGCUUCUAGCUGCUUGUCUUUCCGCUUGUUCCUCACCCCUACCGUUGAGUGCUGAAGUGUGGCUUGGGGAGCCUGGCAGGCUUCACGGAGAUGUUGGAGGCAUGUUGGUUCCUAGUCAGGGAUGCUUCAAGCCCGGCAGCUGUGGGGUAGUGACCUUAGAUCGGUGUUUCCCCUAUAAAACGAUCAUAAUAACCGCUGGAAAAGGUUGGCGGGAGGAUUAAUGGAGAUUAAGGGGGCCGCACUCCUGCUCUGGCGGCACAACUAGUUGGCCUCCAUUACGAUAGGGAUUGUUGCUGGGAGUGGCUGCAGGGGUGGGGGCUGGGCUGUGUCCUGGGCUCCUCCCCACCAGCCCACUUCCUGAAGCACGUGCUGGAGCCUCCGGGCAAAGGAGAAAGAAAACUGGCUCUACUUGGGAACGGGGCCAGCUGUUUUUCUCCCAGUGCAGGUUUUUUAGUCCAGGCUGUCCGGGCUCAAUGAGCUGCUCUGUGGUGGGGGUCGUGAUUUUUAAGGGUUACCCACCAGUGGCCCCAAGUGACGAAAAACUUCCCACCCAAGGUUAUGAGGCCACCACUGGCUGAGUCUGGACAGGGUUCCAGGUUACCUUGAUUUUCAGCCCAGAGCCUGGGCCCCUGACACCCCCUUGCCCAGCUGUCUGGGUUAUUUUAGGCACCCUCCGGUGCCAGCUGUCUGCUUCCAUCACUGCCAGGGUCUGGUAGCAAGGAACCAGGAUGGUCCCGUGGCUCCUGCUGGUAUAGAGGGCCAGCCAUGUUGGGAGGGCUAAACUCCUCACCCCAAGUGGGAAGAGCCCGGAAAAGCACUUUUCUAAGGUUGAAGGCCUUCUACCUCUGCUCUCCUGGGCUUGCUUUCCCUAUUGGCCUCUGUCUUCCUUGAGACCAUCCUGCGGCUGGCUCCCUGAGUGAAUCUUCCCCUGGCACAAGAAGCCAGCCAGCCAGCCAGCCAGCCUCUGGGGCCCAGGACAAAGCCUGAAGAAGCCUAAGAGAAGAACCCUGGAAUCCCUGCAAAGGUAUGUGGAUCCCCGCUCACUCUAAACCUCCCCCUCUUUGUGCUGUUUUUACUCCACUCUGGAGUAGCCUGCUCUUCGUUCUCUGGGCAGUCUUGGCCUCUGGCAUGCUGUCCCUCCUUUUUUUUUUUUUUUUUUUUUUGCCAUUCUCAAAGGGCCACUAAGGUAUAGACCCAGCCCUUCCUCCCUUGCCUGGUUUUGACAGGACUCAUGUCUGUUGGGUCUCUUUGUAGCCCUUCUCCCCCUUCAACCAGCAGUCGGGCCCUAGCCCGUAACCUUGACAACCACUUGGUCCUGUCUCCUCACUACUGAAAACCUGAAGAGGGUUUUCCAGCUGCGGUACAUUUGCCCAAAUUGGGCACCCCUUCUAGCUUCCAUUGGCUCUCCCUCUGCCCAACUGUACCCAAUACAACAAACCAGCUUCCCUGGUCCCUUGGCUGUAACCCAAAAUUGAUCACACUGGUGCUGGGAGCUCCACCACACAGCUUCCUCCAUGCAGCUCCUAACAGGCAGGAAUACGGUUGCUUCUCAAUAAACAAAUCGCAAAAAAGGAA